rnacentral:rRNA from 1 species
CAACUUUCAACAACGGAUCUCUUGGUUCUGGCAUAGAAGAAAAACGCAGCGAAAUGCGAUAAGUAGUGUGAAUUGCAGAAUUCAGUGAAUCAUCGAAUCUUUGAACGCACAUUGCGCCCCUUGGUAUUCCAUGGGGCAUGCUUGUUCGAACGUCAUUU